GACGAACGCUGGCGGCGUGCCUAAUACAUGCAAGUCGAGCGAACGGCGAAGAAGCUUGCUUCUUCAAUGUUAGCGGCGGACGGGUGAGUAACACGUGGGCAAUCUGCCCGUAAGACUGGGAUAACUCCGGGAAACCGGGGCUAAUACCGGAUAACACUUUUCAUCUCCUGGUGGAGAGUUGAAAGAUGGUUUCGGCUAUCACUUACGGAUGAGCCCGCGGCGCAUUAGCUAGUUGGUGAGGUAACGGCUCACCAAGGCGACGAUGCGUAGCCGACCUGAGAGGGUGAUCGGCCACACUGGGACUGAGACACGGCCCAGACUCCUACGGGAGGCAGCAGUAGGGAAUCUUUCGCAAUGGACGAAAGUCUGACGGAGCAACGCCGCGUGAGUGAAGAAGGUUUUCGGAUCGUAAAACUCUGUUGUUAGGGAAGAACACGUACGAGAGUAACUGCUCGUACCUUGACGGUACCUAACCAGAAAGCCACGGCUAACUACGUGCCAGCCGCCGCGGUAA
rnacentral:rRNA from 1 species